UGGGGAAUAUUGCACAAUGGGCGCAAGCCUGAUGCAGCCAUGCCGCGUGUAUGAAGAAGGCCUUCGGGUUGUAAAGUACUUUCAGCGGGGAGGAAGGGAGUAAAGUUAAUACCUUUGCUCAUUGACGUUACCCGCAGAAGAAGCACCGGCUAACUCCGUGCCAGCAGCCGCGGUAAUACGGAGGGUGCAAGCGUUAAUCGGAAUUACUGGGCGUAAAGCGCACGCAGGCGGUUUGUUAAGUCAGAUGUGAAAUCCCCGGGCUCAACCUGGGAACUGCAUCUGAUACUGGCAAGCGUGAGUCUCGUAGAGGGGGGUAGAAUUCCAGGUGUAGCAGUGAAAUGCGUAGAGAUCUGGAGGGAUACCGGUGGCGAAGGCGGCCCCCUGGACAAAGACUGACGCUCAGGUGCGAAAGCGUGGGGAGCAAACAGG
rnacentral:rRNA from 1 species